UAUAGCUGCAAUGUAAACAUUGCAGUUUUCUGUAACUGCAAUGUUUUACAUUGCAGCACUA
rnacentral:miRNA from 1 species